AACGAACGCUGGCGGCAUGCCUAACACAUGCAAGUCGAACGAGACCUUCGGGUCUAGUGGCGCACGGGUGCGUAACGCGGGGGAACCUGCCCUUAGGUUCGGAAUAACUCCCCGAAGGGGGUGCUAAUACCGGAUAAUGUCUUAGGACCAAAGAUCUAUCGCCUUUGGAUGGGCCCGCGUUGGAUUAGCUAGUUGGUAGGGUAAAAGCCUACCAAGGCGACGAUCCAUAGCUGGUCUGGGAGGAUGAUCAGCCACACUGGGGCUGCGACACGGCCCAGACUCCUACGGGAGGCAGCAGUGGGGAAUAUUGGACACUGGGCGAAAGCCUGAUCCAGCAGUGCCGCGUGAGUGAUGAAGGCCUUAGGGUUGUAAAGCUCUUUUACCCGGGAUGAUAAUGACAGUACCGGGAGAAUAAGCUCCGGCUAACUCCGUG
rnacentral:rRNA from 1 species